rnacentral:rRNA from 1 species
AACUUUCAGCAACGGAUCUCUUGGCUCUCGCAUCGAUGAAAGAACGCAGCGAAAUGCGAUAAGUAAUGUGAAUUGCAGAAUUCAGUGAAUCAUCGAAUCUUUGAACGCACCUUGCGCCUUCUGGCUAUUCCGGAGGGCAUGCCUGUUUGAGUAUCAUG